AGCGGUGGAAAAUAUGGACAAGAUUGUGAAGAGAGUUGUGGCGCUUGUUUGGGAUACAAACAAUGUCACCACGUCAAUGGAUCUUGUUCGGAAGGUUGUGACGCUGGGUUUGAAGGAAUUCUUUGUAGAACAGAGUGUUCACUUGGACGAUUCGGAACAAACUGUGAAGGAUUCUGCAGUAAAAAUUGUGGAGUGUCUAAUAUAUGCAACAAAACGACCGGAGAAUGUGAGAAAGGAUGUCAACCGGGCUGGAUUGGACUUCAAUGUACUAAAGAGUGUGAUGGAAGUAAAUUUGGACAGGAUUGUGGACAGAGUUGUGGAGCCUGCCUUAAUUAUAUAAAAUGUCAUUUCAUCAAUGGUUCAUGUCCGAAAGGUUGUGCCGCGGGAUUCAAAGGAGAACUCUGUAAAACAAGUUGUCCUGAAGGCACAUUUGGAAUCAACUGUAAACAAAAUUGCAAUGAACACUGUAGUAUACCUUAUCGGUGUAACAGAGGGA